rnacentral:lncRNA from 12 species
CCCCCCCCCCCCCCCCCCCCCCCCCCCCCCCCCCCCCCCCCCCCCCCCCCCCCCCCCCCCCCCGGUACUGCCGGUGCUGCCGGUGCCGGUGCCGGUGCCGGUGCCGGCAGGGCUCGGUGCUGCCGGCACGGGCCGUGGGGCCGCCGGGGCUGUGCGGCACCAUGGACCCGCCCGCUCAGCUCCCUGCUCAACGCCCGUCUGACGGCAAAAAUUCUCCCAACCUGCAUGAUAAACCUGGACCAAAUGGACUACAGGGAACAUAUCUGGAGAACUGUAGAUAAUUACUGAUUAUUGCACAAGAGUGAAUAUCAUCUAAGAAAUAAAGGUGAAGAGGAUGGAAUGAGAAUUUCUUUUCUCAGGGGAGUUAAAUGAUCCUCCUGCAGUAAGACCUUUGCAUCCUCAAAAGGCAGCAGCAGAAAUUUCUCAUAAAGUUUGACCUGUUGUUCUGUAAGUAAUAUAUCCGAGACUCCAAUACAGAGUAUCUUGUCAAUU